rnacentral:rRNA from 1 species
GAUAAACGCUGGCGGCGCACAUAAGACAUGCAAGUCGAACGGACUUAACUUCAUUCUUUACGAUUGAAGAGCGGUUAGUGGCGGACUGGUGAGUAACACGUAAGCAACCUGCCUAUCAGAGGGGAAUAACAGUGAGAAAUCAUUGCUAAUACCGCAUAAGCUGAUAGUAUCGCAUGAUACAGUCAGAAAAGGAGCAAUCCGCUGAUAGAUGGGCUUGCGUCUGAUUAGCUAGUUGGUGGGGUAACGGCCUACCAAGGCGACGAUCAGUAGCCGAGCUGAGAGGCUCAACGGCCACAUUGGGACUGAGACACGGCCCAGACUCCUACGGGAGGCAGCAGUGGGGAAUAUUGGGCAAUGGGGGGAAACCCUGACCCAGCAACGCCGCGUGAAGGAAGAAGGCUUUCGGGUUGUAAACUUCUUUAGCAGGACGAAGGACGUGACGGUACCUGCAGAAAAAGCAACGGCUAACUACGUGCCAGCAGCCGACGG